UGGUGGCACUGGCUGGCAUAGGUUUGGAGGACAGGCUCAGGACACAUGGAUGUCUGCUUCCAUCAUUAAAUGAUCAGGUGAAGGCAGUGCCCUCUGAAGCAGGAGGACACCUCCAUGUGGGCCACUGUGCUUGGAUGAGGGAGGAUGGGAGGAGAAGAUGACCAAGGCACCCCUGGAGAAGUCCUGCAGGCUCCCAGCUUGCCAUUUGUGCCAGCCUGGCUCCAGACUGGACGGAUUUUGCUCCUAACCCAGCACGUUGCUGCCUGCAGUCCUCUCCCCUGGAGCAUCCCUGAGCCACCCAGAGGAGUGAGCUCCAUCCUGGGCUGCCCUGUGGCCAGGGCCUGCUGCAGCCUCCUUGCCCAUCACUAGUGGCCCAAGGUGUGGAAAGCUCUGCCUGGCCAGCGAGGGCUCGUGCUGGCAGAGCAUCCCUGCAGCUGCUUGGAAACACGAGGGAAGAUCCAUCCAGCUGCUCAUCCCAGCGUGUGCACGAGUGCUGCAGCACUGCCAGCAGCAGCAGAAUGCUCUGGAAAACCCACGUGAGGGUUAAAACAAGGAACAGGAGAUGCAGAUGUGCUGGGCCUCCAGAGCUGCUCUGUGCCAUGCUCGAGCCUCC